AUUGAACGCUCGCGGCAUGCCUUACACAUGCAAGUCGAACGGCAGCACGGGGCAACCUGGUGGCGAGUGGCGAACGGGUGAGUAAUGCAUCGGAACGUACCAUUCAGUGGGGGAUAACGUAGCGAAAGUUACGCUAAUACCGCAUAUUCUGUGAGCAGGAAAGCAGGGGAUCGCAAGACCUUGCGCUGAUUGCGCGGCCGAUGUCAGAUUAGCUAGUUGGUGAGGUAAAGGCUCACCAAGGCGACGAUCUGUAGCGGGUCUGAGAGGAUGAUCCGCCACACUGGAACUGAGACACGGUCCAGACUCCUACGGUAGGCAGCAGUGGGGAAUUUUGGACAAUGGGGGCAACCCUGAUCCCGCCAUGCCGCGUGAGUGAAGAAGGCCUUCGGGUUGUAAAGCUCUUUCGGCCGGGAAGAAAUCGCACGGGCUAAUACCCUGUGUGGAUGACGGUACCGGAAUAAGAAGCACCGGCUAACUACGUGCCAGCCGCCGCAGUAACAC
rnacentral:rRNA from 1 species